GGGUUAAGUCCCGCAACGAGCGCAACCCUCGACCUUAGUUGCCAGCAUUCAGUUGGGCACUCUAAGGUGACUGCCGGCUAAAAGUCGGAGGAAGGUGGGGAUGACGUCAAAUCAUCAUGCCCCUUAUGACCUGGGCUACACACGUGCUACAAUGGGCGGUACAAAGGGUCGCGAACCCGCGAGGGGGAGCCAAUCCCAAAAAGCCGCUCUCAGUUCGGAUUGCAGGCUGCAACUCGCCUGCAUGAAGCCGGAAUCGCUAGUAAUCGCGGAUCAGCAUGCCCGCGGUCGAAUACGUUCCCGGGCCUU
rnacentral:rRNA from 1 species